rnacentral:tRNA from 1 species
AGUAAGGUGCCUGAAGAAAAGGACAAUUUUGAUAGAAUUGGUCAUGUGGCCCCCCCACCUUUGCUAC